rnacentral:lncRNA from 1 species
CUCCCAGAUAGCUUCAAGGAUAAUAAAAAAGGCCACUUCAUAAAAUUUCUCCUUUAUGAUAUUUCCCUUUCAAAACUACCAAAGAACUCUUCAAAAAUAUUAGCUUGGAAAAGGUUAACUUGCAUCUGCCUCACACCAAGUGAAAUGAAAGUUAUUUUUAUGCUAACAACCUGAGGAACAAAUUAUAAGUGAACAAAGCAAUAUUGGUAAUAAUAAAAUUUGUGUCAUCUUGCAGCUAUAACAGCUUCACUGCUACCACCUAGACUUAGCCAGGGCCACCAUCACCUCCCACCUCAUUUCCUGAAAAGGUUCCUCCCUGAUCUCCUGGGUUCAAUCCUUGUCCUGCCCCUGGAUGAGGUGUUUGUUUGUAAAUAAAGCUAAUUUUUUACUGCUCCUGCCUCAUCUCUUUUAGAAGCAAAGCCAAUGGUUCUACCUUGUGCAACAGUCAUGACUGCCCUGUCCCAAUGGAGCUCUUUCACCCCAUCCUUCUUUCUGGCUGGCUAUUCUCCAGCCACUCUGGGAUUUUCCUAAUUCUUCAAAAAGACAGACUCUCCCUGUGUCAACAUCUUUCCUAUUGUUCUUUCUGCCUAGUGGCCUCUUCUCUGAGUCUUUGCCCCUCUCUGCUUCUCCACACUACGUUUUCGAUACAAGUGGUCCAUCCUCAAAAAGGUCUUUCCUCAUCACUAUAUCCACAGUCAUCAUUUUUCCUCCCCUAACUCUCCACCCUCGCUCUGGCUUGACCCAUGUCAACCUGGUCUUGCCCUUCUCGUGUUCUCAAUGUCUGAUUAUAUCCAAUAUACAUUGGCUCAUGUGUUUAUCGCCAUUAUAGACUGGAUCUUAAAUGUCUCCUGAAAGUUUAGCACCAGCUGACAGUAUGUGAGGAGGUGGUUAAAACUCUAGAAGUGAGGUCUUGUUGAAGACACCAUUGAGAGGUCUUUGAGACUGUGCCUUUGAAGAGGGUAUGAGGAUCCACGGCUUUUCCCUCUUUCUCUUCCUUGUGGGCUUUCAAACACAACAAGUUUUGCUCACCAUAUUCCGCAUCAUGGUGUUUGGCUUUGCAAUGGGCCUGAAGUGAUUGAACUAAGAAGCCAUGGAAAUCUCUGUAACCAUGAACCAAAAUAUGUUUCCUUCCCUAUUCUGUGCAUUUUGUCUCAGCAACAGGAAGCUGAUAUAAGCAGGAACAGCAAGAACUGGUCUUCAAAACUCUCUCUACAGAGCACAGAAUCCAUCUGGCACAGAUUAGACACCUUGGUGAACAAUUGUAAAGGAAUGACUGGAGUUAAAAUGAUCAUGGAAAUACACUUCUGUGUCUAUGAGAUGUUUCCAGGAAGGUUGAACUAAGGAGGGAAGCUUGGCCCCCAAUGCAGCCAGUAUCAUGCAUUGGCUGGUUUUCUGGACUGCUUACAAAGAGAGGGCAAGCAGAGCACUGGAGUCCAUCCCUCCCUGCUUCCUGGAUAUUGAUGCAGUGUAACCAGAUGGCCCAUGCCCUUGUCAUCAUACCUGAUGAACUGUACUCUCUAACUGUGAGCCAAAAUAAACCCUUUCUCCCCUAAACUGCUUUCAUCAUGUUAAUGGCAAAUAUGAAAACACAUCUUUAAGACUCAGAUCUAGAUUAUUUCUUCUAAAAGCAAAGAUGCUGAAGAGUGAAGUUUGUGGGGAAAUGUUAAUACAGCUAUCUCAGCCUGCUGUCUUUAGUUGUCUUGGAACUUGGGUGUUGAAACAUUCAUGAAGACUUGACUGUUGUGACACCUAGGCUAAAUGACAUGAGUGGGGUUUUUAUGCUGAAGGCUCACUCUGUCUAAGCACCUAAAACGUAAAUGGGGAUGAGUGCCUUUAGAAUCAGUCUCCGGUGUGAAAGCCCUCACCCUGAGUCACAAGCAACCUCACCUGGGCAUGUGGAUUGAACAUGUGUGGAUGCACUUUUUGCUACUGCAGAGUGAGCGUGCUAGGUGUGACUGCUAAGAGGAUGAGGAAAGCAGGGGUAAUUCUACAUUUGGAUUUCUCCAAGUCUGCCUUGGAAAUGUUUCGUGGGUCUUGCUGUUGUUUUGUUUCUCAUCUUACUGCUCUAGCUGUGUAUCCUUUACAGCGCUGCAAUAAUAGAUCAUAAUUGCGUGCAAAGCUGAAAUCUGUGACCUGACUGAACCACAAAUGCACAGGCAGUCUUGGAGAAUUCUGUAAGUAAAAGACAGUAGCAGACACCUUGACUGAAGUGAUGGAUAUGGCACUAAGUGAGGGCACCACUCUAUACAUCUAGGAACCAAGAAGUUCAGUUUCGUUACAUCUGGCACAUAGUACAUACUCAGUGUAGGAAACCAGCAUCCCUAGUGCAGAAUUCAUUGAUUCAAAUAGUAGGGCUGUUCUUCUGACAAGGAGCUGUUAGCAUUUAUCAGGCAAAAGAGGGAGGGAGGCUACCUGAGCAAUUGAAGUCUAAACCCCAACAUUUUCCAAGAGAGUUAAAAUUAUAGGAGAGAAUUUGGCUUUUCUUGGAUGCAACUCUGCAUACUGAUUAGCCGCCUAAAGAGGCAAAUUUAUUCAAAUCUACCUCCCUAAAACAAAUGUCAUCUCCCCGGGGGAGUAAGAUGGUGUGGAACUAUAAACAGAGCUCACCAUUUCCAAGUCCUUUUUCAGGAAAAUUCUUCUCUCUGCUCUCCUGCAGUCGAGUAGUUGUAACCUGGAAGCAGCCGAAAAUCAUUUAAAAAGUGUUAACAGUCCAAUUUAUACAUAAAUUGUGUGAUUUAUACAGACACUAUAUGAUUUGUGUUGGGUGAUCAUAACAAGAUGUUUGCUUCAUGGCAAAUUAACUUUUGCAUUUUAAAAUGGAUUUUUUGUUGUUUUGCAUUUAUAUUUUUUUGUUUUGUUUUUGCAUACCAACUGCAGUUUCUCCUCCCUCCUUCCCCCCCCCACUCCCAUAGUGUUGCAGCAACAUUAGGUACCUCCUCUUCUAUUAAGGCUGGAUGUGGCAACCUUGUAGGAGGAAAGGGUCCCCAAAGUACGUAACAGAGUCAGAGACAGAUCCUGCUCCCACUUUUCAGAGUCUCAUGCAAAGACUAAGCCCAUUUAGUUGGGGCAGGACCAAGCGCCCCCACCCGCCACCCCCGCAUUAAGGCUGAGCAUGGCAUCCCACCAGAAUGAUAAUUUCUUUAGCAUUAAAGACCCAGUAGCCCAACGUCCCCAUUACAGUAUUUUAAGGCAGAGCUAAACCCAUGCAAACACGGAAAAUACCUUUCCCUCUGUUAAUGUAGACUAGCUUUUCUUGAAAACAGCAAACAGACUAAAAAACUGAAUUACCUUCUUAGAUACGAGGGCAGAAAAGUGAUUGCCAUUAAAGAUCAUACCAUUCCUUUUGCCUAUAGGUUGGAAGCCUUUAAUAUGUCUCCAAUUUGUUUUUGGAGUCAUGAAAUUCUGAUUAUAAUAGGAGUAUUAAGAGCUCCUAUCUGAAGUCUCCAGCAAUAUUUAGAAAGACAGAAGUGUCUCCUUCAGCAGGAAGUGGAUCUUCCUGAGAGAUUUGAAGGUACCUGACUCUGUGAGUCUGAAAAUAGGGUUCCCAGAGAAAAGAACAAUCGAAAAGAAAUGGAAGGCAAGACAGGGAAUGCCACCUAUGAACGGCCCUGUAAGGUCAGUGGAUGCCUCUGCCAAGACACUUCAGUUUCCAGAAGAUAGAAAUCACAUUUCUUCUGGGUCAUGUCAAUGUAGCUUCUUAACAAUUUAUUUUAAAUGAACAAAUAAGAGGUUGAGUACUUUUUAUAUAAAAUGCUGCCAACUCUACCUAUAUUUUGGCUUGCUAAAUAUCUAUAUAUUUUACAAACCCUCAACAUAGUAUUCCCUGAACCUCCUGCCAACGUAAUCUCUUCUCUUAGGAUAGUCACACUACAAUGUUAUCUUAACCAUAAUUAUUGUACAAAGGUAGAGUAAAGGCACCUGUUUGUUUUAUUCCUAUUAUUUUCCCAAUCCCUGAUUCCAUGUGCUUUAAGGUCCUUGAAUUCUAUGGAUCUUUUUCAAACCCUUAGCUUCCCUACUACACUAUACAGCCAAGUGUCCACAUCUGAUUUUAUGCUUGUAUAUUUAAAAGACCUAUACCUUAUCUUGUUUCUAGUUUUCACAUAACAAGGCAUCCUUAAUCAUUUAUCCAUCCCCAAUUCUAUUGCUUAAAACAAAUAAUCACCUACAUAUUUAUGAAAUUUUACCAUUGCAUAUAUUUCUAUUCUCUACCACUCAUCAUGAAAAUCUCUUCAUUUGUGAAUGAUUUUUACUAUUUUUGAAAAGACCUAUUACACUCUUCUUGAGCUGGAUGGCUAUGACUUUUUGUCUGCUCACCUGGUGUUACUCAUCAGGUUGGAUUGAAUAUGCUCAGUGGGAAACAAGGAUAAAGGUUGGCUCACUGGAUGACUUGUUAAUCCGCAUCAGCCAAAACACUUCUGACUUCUCAUUUGUAAAAUGAGAUUUUAAAACCUUCAUCAUUAUUUACUAAGCAUUCACUCUACCCUAGGAACUUAAUAAAAGACACUAAGCAUUCAAAGAGCUUAAAAAUGAGGCCUCCACUUGCAGUUUGGGGGGCAUCGUGGGAACUCUCAUUGAGAGGCACUCCAUUUCUGGUGCUUUACAUAUUAAAAGACAUCAGUCUCAUGAGGGCUCAGAUGCUCAGAUGAAUCCUCAGGGUAAGGUGGUAUCCUGGUGGCAGAGAAGUGGGAUUAGAGGCCCCACAGCUGGAGCUGUCUAAUAAGAGAUGGAGAGAGGAAGACAAUGUCAGAUAUUAGAUAGGCAUAUUAAAAGUUUUAUAGGAAGGGAAGGUGUUUUUCUUUUGCAGAAUGUGAGUUGUGCACAUCAAGAAAAUUCAAGUGCAUUCUGUAUUCUCUCUAAAUAGGAAUUGUUCCCUUUACCACCAUUCCAAGUACAGUAACUAUGGCUUUUUUUAGAGCCAAAUCACAAAACUCCACCCAAAACAAUUCCUAGCCAGACUCAUAAAAAAGCACGUUUUUAAAAGAAAAGUCCUAAUGUGUUACUUCUCGCUACAGAAAAUGAAGAUGUAUCCUAGUCUUUGUGUCCCCCUGUCUAAAUAAAGAACAGUAUUUUAUGUACAAAAUCAAUUUAUCAAAAGAUCUCUUAAAAUAGAGAAAUGAUUUCUAUGCUUGGCCCUCUAAUCUUUAUUCCUUUCUUUUCUGAUGGAGAAGUUUUAUUUUCCUUUGCUAUCACUUAAUUAAACAUAAAUUAAUCAUUCUCAGGUGAUGAACACUAGAAAAACAAUCAUCAAAUAAUUCUAGUGGGUAAAUAUGGUAAAGAAAACAUUAUUUUAAAAUUUAUAGUUUUUUUAAUUUUCUUUACAAUCUACAGCUUAAAGAAUUGUCACUUAUUUUUAUUAUUUCACAUGACUUGUUGCAUAGUUAUUGAACCUUGAGCUCAGGGGAAGUCUGGCAAUCAUAUAAUCUAUUGCAUUCAUUUUAUAGGCAAAGUAGGGAGGGUGCAUUUAAUAGCAGUGACAAGUCUUGUGAUCCCAAACCUGGUGUGCAAACCCCUUUAUUGCAUCUUUUCCCCUCUGUGAAGUGUUCCAAAGUGGGAAGUCUUGUGCUUUAUUCUCAGCAAGCAUGUAGAAUGCAAUUGCCAAUGACUACUAUCAUAGGCGGCCGGGGUGUAGCAGGCUUUGGAACUGCGCGGAGGAGCAGGUGGACGGCCGAGUGGGCUCCUCUCAGCGCAAACGGUGCCAGAAACACUUUGUGGUGGGUUAGUGCCAGAGGCAAAGAGGAAAAUUACCUGGGCACCUAUGCAGCAGGGGAAUAAACCAUGCCAAAAGCCGCGACCUACCCACAGGUUUCAGAAUAAAAAUUCCAUCCUGACACCAAAUAUCUUUAAAUGCAAUAAAAUGCAUUUAAUGAAAUCAGAGCAAGUUUGAUGAACAGAUAUUUAAUAGGAAAGUACUCACACGAUGGAGUCAGUCCCCUACCACCAGGCGAACCAGGAAACAGAGACAACCGCAUGCGUGGGACCCUCAUAUUUAAAGUCUUGCUACAUCACUCUGACCACGCACAAUUGUCUGUGGUCUGCAUCACCAGUGCCAGCCCCCAAGAAGGUGUGGCUAGCAUUUCCGCUUCAGACUACUGUGAUUAGAAGACCUCUAAUGACCACAUUAGAAAGCUCGGGAUAUGCUUCUGGGACUUCCUUUGAAGGUUUACCUCUGUACUCAGAGUAUUGUAGUCAAUAGUUAAUGUUUCUUAGGGUGAGGCAUCCUUCAGUAAGAAAUCAGCCGAUUCUGAUUAUCAAAACCCAACCCCCAGGAAGGAAUUUGAUGUCACUAUCAUCAAUAAAUUUAAGUUGGGUAAAUGGUGGUAUGGUGGUUUGAAAGAAAAUGCCCCACGUUGGCUCAUAGAGAGAGAGUCGCUGGCAGGAGGUAUGGCCUGCUGGAGUAAGUGGGGCCUUGCUGGAGGAAGUGCAACACUAGGGGGAACGCUUUGACACCUCAAAUGCUCAAGCCUGGUGUGGCAUUUACUUCUUUCUGCCUGUUGAUCUGGAUGUAGAAUUCUCAGCUCCUUCCCCGGCACCAUGUUUGCCUACAUGCUGCCUUGCUUCACACCACAAUGAUCGUUAAUUAAACUUUAAAACUGUAUGCCAGCCCCAAUUGAAUGUUUUCCUUUAUAAGAGUUAUUGUGGCCAUGGUGUCUUUUCAUAGCAAUGAAACCCUAACUAAGACAUAAAUUUGUACCAGGAGUUGAGUAUUGGUGUGAUAGGCCUGACCAUGCUUUUGUUUGGAGGAAUGUGGACUCUGGAACACAGGAUUAGAAUAGAAGUUGAAUUCUUUAAGUGGGGCUUAAUGGGACACCCUAGGAGGCACAUGGAAGACAGUAGUGCUGCAAGUAAUUUGGAUGACGGGGGCCUGACUCAAGAGGUUUCAGAGGAGAAUAUUUGUAUGUGACCUAGAGACCAUUCUUGUGAUAUUUUGGUGAAGAAUGUAGCCGCUUUUUGCCCUUCUCUAAAAAGUCUGCCUGAGGCUAAAUGGAAGAGUUUUGGAAUGUGUUGGCAGAGGAAAUUUCAAAACAGCCUAGUAUUGACUCUAUCCUGUGGCUGCUAGUAUUCACUCUUAUGGACAUCUAUAAUGAAAAAGUACAAACUAAGAAAAAUAGAAAAUGUAGAAUUCAAUGAGAAAAGGGGCACCAAGAAAAGGAAUGGAGCUAAAUCCUAUGUUCAUGUUCAAGGAGAUAAACAGAUUAAAGAAUAUCUUGAUGUUAAAUGGAAUAAAGAGAGUUGUGACUUCAAGGCAAGAUCCAAGAAACUUAGCUUCCAACUGUGAAAAUGAAUGACAGCUUAGAGCCUGGAGUGGUGUCUCAGGAGACUAAGGCAGAUGGAUCUCUGAUAUUGAGGCCAUCCUGGUCUACAGAGCAAGUUCCAGAAUAGCCAAGCUUAGAGGCAGCGAAGGAAACCAUGAAAACAGAAAGCUGGGGAAGAUGAAAUUAAAUGGGUGGGCCAUGAUCCAGGCCCAGCAAGGAGAACAUGGCAUCUCUGGCCAUAUGACUCUGGCUUUAGAUUCAAGAAAAGCAGAAAGGAGCUACAGAGUCUCCCCCUCACAAACUAGGAAAGCCACGGAGGCCAGGCAUGUAUCAGGAUUGUCUCUGCAUGGAGGACUAUGGAAUCCAUUUUGUGAAGCUAUAAAGGUGAAGUCUGGAUUGCUUUGGAGACCCCAAAAUGUUGGAGGUGACAUAUCCAUGGGAUACCUGCUGAAGAGAACAGCUAACAAGAAGUAGAACCAGCCCAAGAGAUAGAGUUGAAAGGAGUUGGAGAUCUUCUGUGUUUUUAUAUCAAAUAUGGAGAUACAGAGAUUGACUUUAUCCAGCUGGCUUCUAGUUUUCCUUUUACCCAGAGUUUCUUUACUGUGCUCCCUUUGUGCUACCUUUCUUCCCCCACUGGAAUUCUAAUGCAUAUUGUAUGUUCUGUCAUUAUAUGUUGGAAGUAUGUGAUCUGCUUUUUCAUUUUAAUUUUAAAGAGCAUUACAAUUAGGAGACUACAUGAGUCUCAGAAAACACUUUGAACUUUGGACUUUUAAAUAAGUUUUUAGAGUGUUAGAGACUACAAGGAUUUUCAAAGUUGCGCUAAAUGCAUUUCUGCAUUUUAAUAUGGCUGCAAUAUGGGAGUCAAGGAGCAGAAUGUGGUGGUUUGUAAGAAAAUGGCCCCCAUAGGCUCAAAGGGAGUAACACUACCAGGAGAUGUGGUCUUAUUGGAGGAAAUGUGUCACUAGGGAAAGACAGGCUUUGAGUUCUCAAAUGCCCAAGCUACUCCCAGUACACAGUUCAUUUCCUGUUGCCUGAGGAUCAAGAUGUAGAACUCUCAGCUCCUUCUCUAGUACCAUGUCUGCCUAUACCCCGCCAUGCUUCCUACCAUGAUGAUAAUGGACUAAAACUCUGAACCUGUAAACCAGCCCCAAUUAAAUGUUUUACUUCUAAGAGUUACUGUGGUCAUGGUGUCUCUUCAUAGUAAUAAAACAUGGUUUGUUAAUUAUCUCUUAAUUACAUUUGUGUGUUUAUAGAAAACAUUUAAAUUUCAUUUAAAAUUCUAAGAAAAUAUUGCUGUUUACAAAAUACUUUUCUAUAUUUUGUCAAAUAUAAUAUGCAGCUGUGUGUAAACACAGUUUCCAAUUGCAAGUCUACAUUUUUCAUUUCCUUAAAUAAAAUACAUAGACUAUGAUGAAAACUGUUAAAAGGAGCUAUGUUUAAAAGAUUCAAUUUCUAUUCUGUUCUUAUAACAUUUUUCUCAAAAUGAAACAUCUUGUGUCAAACUUAAGAAUUAGCACUAAUUAUUUUAAAGGCAUUGUUGGCUGUUCUGUGAUGAGAUAGUUCUUGAGACAAAAAAGAAAAUCAUCUGAUGAGUGUAAUAGAAGUAAAUUAGAGUUAGUAUUAAAAUCGGAUGGGGGAGGCUAUACAUAAUGCAAAUGAGUUCUCGUCCUGCUUCUGCUUCUAGUUUUGCUUUUGAAUCAAUGGAAAAACAGUUCCAUUAUUGAAUAUCAUGUAAUAGCUACAUUUUAUGAAAAUGGUGUUCCAACUGAUGAUUGACUAUCUUUGAGUUUAAACAUUAUUGAUGUACAUUAAACGUAAACUAAGGAAGUUUUAUAGGGACCAGUGGAAAAAAAGCUCUUACCCCCAAGCCUGAUGACCUGAGUUUAAUACCCAAAACAUGCAUGGUUGUAGAAGAAAAUCAAAAACCAACUCUGAUAAGUUGCCCUCUGAUCUUCACAUGCAUGCUGUAAAUAGAUGCACAUGCACACACACACACACACACACACACACACACACACACACACACACACACACACACACAAAUAAAUGAAUAAAUAGACUUUGAAAAAAGAAACCUUUAGAAAACAAUCCUGAAAGCUGAGAUGCAAGCCUCUUGACUGUGUUCUAGGCCUGCUAUGCUCAUGGUGAAACCUUGAAUUAUUAACCCUGACUCACAGUAAGUGCCAAAUGAAAACUGCCUCAGUGGAUUCAGAAGUAUAAAUCCUCUUGGUAUUAUCCAGGAAUCUCAAUAGCUACUGGCUUGAAAAUGUGCUGAGGCAAGUAGAAGCAAAAAUGAAUAUUGGGUGGUGCAGGCUGAGUCCCAGAAGUUGAGAACUAAAAGGUCAGUUCCAAGGCUCUAUGCCCAAAAAACAACUUCCCAAGCACAUGGUGUAUAAACUCUGCUAACAAUAGGUUAGACUAGUCUCUGAACUUACACCUCAUCUUCGUUACUGUUCUGUUGUUCUGAAGAAACACCAUAAUUAAGACAACUUAUAAAAGAAAGCAUUUAAUUGAGGAUUUGCUUAUCAUUUUACAGGGUGACUCCAUGACCAUCAUGGUUUGGAAGCAUGGCAGGGGGCAGGGAGGCUGAGCACCAGAGCAGAAGUUAGGAACUUACAUCUGAUCUGCAGGCAGUAGGCAGAGAGAGACAGAGACAGAGACAGAGACAGAGACAGAGACAGAGAUAGGAAAACAGUGUCAAACAGAGACAGAGAGAAACAUGGAGACAGACUGUAAAACAGAGAGAUAGGCAGAGAGACAAAGAGAAAGACUGGGCCUGACAUGGGCUUUUGAAACCUCAAAUCCCACCCCCACUGAUGCACCUCCUCCAACAAGGCCACACCUCCUAAUAUUUCCCAAACACUUCCACUAACUAUGGAACCAAACAUUGAAAUAUAUGAGCCAUUCUCAUCCAAAUCUCCACACCCCUCAGUAGAGUUAACAGUAUAAUGUGCACAGCUUACACACUGCUAUUCAACUCCUUCUUCGAGUCCUAGAAUCUUUAAACACUUGCUCUGCUCCCUAAGUGAGGGUUUUAUCACCUAUCUUGGUCUAGAACUUGACAUAUUACUAUUCUUUCUGUUUUCACUUUUCCAUUUUCAAAUGGCUGGACCAGAUGUGAUACUGCACACAGUAUGUUAUGCUGAAGUGGCAGAGGACAACCUGGACUACACCUGUAAGUUUAUAAGUUGAGUAUAGUGGUUCACACUUGCAAUCAGAGUACUGAGAGGUUGAGUCAGGAGUAUUAGUAUGAGUUCAAAGUCAGCCUGGCUACAGAGUGGGAAUCAGGCCAACCUGUACCAUACAAAUAAGUAAAUGCUCUCCAGAGAACACACACACACAAUAAUAAUAAUAAUAAUAAUAAUAAUAAUAAUAAUAAUAAUAAUAAUCAAAGAAGGAAAUGUUCUGGAUUGGAGAAAUGGCUCAAAGAGUAAAGUACUUGGUUCAUAAACCUGUGCACUUGAGUUCAAUCCCUAGAAUGCACAUAAAGGUUAGGAAAAAAGAACCAGCCCCUGACAAGUGUCUUCUGACUUACAUAUAGGUACGGUGUAUGUGUGCGCACACUUUCCCAAACACAUAUACUCUUAACAAUAAUAUUUUUAAAAAGUUAGUAUUGGGAGGACAGAUGAUUCAAUGGAAAAGGUUCUAGUUGCCAUGACAUGAAUUUUAUCCUCAGUACCCACAUGAUAGAAGGAGAAAAACAAUUCCCAGUUCUCAAAUGGUGUGCUCUGACAUCCACACAAAUCUACAACACACACAGACACACACACACACACACACACACACACACACACACACACACUCCAUCCAUCAAUCAACAAAUAAAUAAAUGUAAACUUUUAAUCAACCACUACUGUAGUACUACAUAAUUCAGAGGUUUUGUUAUAGUAGCACACAAUUUUAAUCAUAUAUUUCUCUACUAGUCUAGACAAAUUUUUAUAACAACAAAAAAUCCAAAACUGUCAACAAACCAACAAAAGUUCAUUUUUCAAUGUUAUUACAUGUCCAAUUUGGGUCAGCCUAAAGGCUCUGCCUACUGUAAUGAUUCAAAGGCCCAUUCUGACAGAAACUCAAUUGCAGAAUAUUUUCUCAAAGAUGGUGAGCCAGAUAAGGAUGACCAGAGAGCAGGUCACAUGCCCUUAAACUUCAUUUCAUUGACCAAAGCAAAUGACAAAGUUCCCAACUCAAAGGGGAUAAAGAAGUAUAGCGUCUCAUCAUUGCCUUUUCAUUUCUAUGAAAAGCAGACAUUUUCUACUAAACGACUUCGAGCCUGUAGUAAGCCAUUUUUGCUUCUAUUGUGAUAUACGUGAGGCAGUCUCAGGAAAAGGUUUGAAUUAGCUCAUACUUCCGGAGGUUCAAAUCCACAGCAGCAGCAGCUAAUCUGUCCUGUAGCUUCAUGAGCACUUGUAGGAAGAAGACACUGCAUCAUCAAACAGGCAUGGAGAGCAAUUCAGUAAUCAGGCUUCCUGUUAUGAUACCUUGCUGUUUUGAGAGCCUAAGUAUCUCAGGAGUACAACCAUUGUGACCUAAAAAUCUCCCAGUAGGCCCCACAUCUUAAGUCCCACUACUCCUCCAACACCAUCACCCUACAGAUCAAGCUGCCAACUCAUGAACUCUUGAAGACAAACUCAAGUUCUAUCCAAACCAUGGUGAGGAGGAAGAAUUUUUUAAGCAUUUCUGAAGCAUGAGAAUUAUGUUCUACAUAUUCUGAGCAGACACACAAAUAAAAAAAAGAACAACUAUCUUUUGUUCAGUAAAACAUUUACUUUCAAAUACAUACCAUCAAUUGCUAUGAGGUAAUUAUAUUUUCAUUUCUAAGCUUAGUCUAACUUGAAGCAAGUAAACUAUUUAAAACUUGAUGUAGCAUAGCCAGUGUAGUAGUGGUCUACUGUGGUGAACAGACCACCAAGAAUUCUCAUGUCUGAGUGUCCAAAUCUGUAUAUAACCCCUUCCCAAAAGCAUGGAAGAUCAGUAGCAUGGCUUUAAGAAAUGUAAUGUACGGAAACAAGGUAAAGCCAGAUACUCUUGUUCUGACCUCCAUGUAACAGUCAUAUUUGAAUGUCAGGAAUUGUGGAUACUCUCUGAAAUGACAGCAGGGUUUAACUAGCAGCUGCAGAGAAACUGAGACCAUCAGUCACAGAACCACAAGGAAACAAACUCUGCCAACAAACUUCAAGAUCUCACAAGAAGCUUCCACAUAAAUCACAGCCCAAGUCACUCUUUUGACCAAAACCUGGCAAGAUCCUAAGAUGGGCUGUGUCUAGAACUCCAUUCCACUAAAACUGCAAACUGGUGUUUGUUGCUUUAAGCUGUUAAAUGUUUAUGUUUUGCUGUAUUGCAAUGAAAAAGGAAUAUGCCUGCUCAUGGCAACUCAACUUCAAUGCUCUUAUUUAUCUUUUGCAUAGUUUACUUUUUGAUUUGUAAAUUUAAAUUUAUAGAAAAGUUGCAAGUAUGAUGCAAGAAAAUCCAAUAUUGGGCCAUCCACAUGUCUCAGCAGGGUAAGGCACUUGCCAGCAAGCCCAACAACCUGAGUUUGGUCCUGUGACUUACACAGUAGACAGAACCAGCCCAGUCCCUAUAGACUCUUCUCUGACCACACUCACACACACACACAUACACAAUGUGAUUAGCAGGAAAUGAUGGGGGAGAUUUCAAUACACCUGUUAGUUAUUUUAUCUGUCAGUUAUUUUACCAUCUACUCUCUCACAUACAAAAGUUCUGAACCAUUUGAUAACAGGCUUAAGAAGUGGUAUCUUUAAACCUAAACACCCCCCCCAGAAGUGGAAUUUUCUAAUUGUAGUAUAAUUAUGUAAAAAGAAGAAAAUUGUUUAAUUUUCUAAUCCAGAGUUCACAUUCAAGUGUCACAAACUGUGCCAAUAAAGUGCGUUACAUCUAGUUUCUCUUUUAUGCCUUAGAUCUAAAAUGCAAAUUAAACUGGUGCCAUUUCAGUUAGGUUUGUUCUUUGUUCUGUAAUUGUUUCUAAACCUAUCACCAGCAUUCUUGGCUCUGCAUUUUUCAAGCACAGAAACAGGGUUUAUAUGAGGUAUCCUCAUGAUGGGAGGCAAUCGUGAGGAAUACCAGGCAGGGGUCCUGUGCUCAGUCCCAGGCACUGAGCAGAAGACAUGGAGUCCCCAUGGGCUUACUGUUGUACCAUGAACACUUUAUGAAAAUCCUCCUGUCACCUCUUCACUUAUUUCUAGUGGGUGAAUGUCUAGGAAUGAUAUUUCUUUAACCUGGUAAGAAACCACAAGCCAAGCACCCUCACCUUCUAUGAGUUGUGUCCAAGGUGAGUCCCAUAGGCCACUUGGGGUGACAUACAACCUGAGAUAGUUAUGAAAAGAUCUCAACACAAAAUCAUAAACUUGCUUAAAAUGUUGAAUAGGUUUUUUUUUUCCUUUUUGUGAUUUAUCUUUGUAACUCAUUUUCAUGUCAGUUGGUGUUGCUAUGAUUUUGAUAGUGAGUACCUUCUGCCUACUGGCCAUUGUGUACAUCUGUUCAAGUUCUCUGCUCAUGUUUUGAAAUUACUGAAUUAUAGGAAAUCCUAUAUCCUAGACAGAAAUUCUUUUUUGGGGGGUGGGGGUUUCGAUACAGGGUUUCUCUGUGUAGCUUUGGAACCUAUCCUGGCACUCGCUCUGGAGCCCAGGCUGGCCUCGAACUCACAGAGAUCUGCCUGCCUCUGCCUCCCGAUUGCUGGGAUUAAAGGCGUGAGCCACCAAUGCCUGGCCUUCAGAAAUACUUUAUCAAAUAUAUUUCACAUGUAUUUCCUACAAAUCUAUGAUUUUUUUACCCAUUAUGGCAAUAAUCAGUUGAUAAGCAAGAAAUCACAAUUUUAGCAAAGUCCAAUGUUCCAUUUUUUCUUUAUGGUUAUCAUUUUCUGUAUUUUUAUUAAAUUUUGAAAAGAAGAAUAUAGAUUUUUGAGCUCUCAUAUGUUAUGAUAAAUCUUUCUGCCACCUGCUUGAGUUCUGCCUGCCACGUAGAUGGCCAAAAUAAUACAGGACUUAUAUUAGGUACAAAUGCUGCUUGGCCAGUGACUAGGAUUUCUCAUCUGCUAGCUCAGUCUUAACUAUCAUAAAUCUAUAAAUUUUAUAAGACUUAUCUUAUCGGAUGCCUUUCAUUGGUGUCCUCAUCCCCAGGAUCACAUGGUGGCUCCGAGCAGAGAGCAGGAGGAAGAGCAAAGGGGAAAAAGAACCACUUCUUGCUUAAUAUGAGUCUCCCUG